GACGAACGCUGGCGGCGUGCUUAACACAUGCAAGUCGAACGGAAAGGCCCUGCUUUUGUGGGGUGCUCGAGUGGCGAACGGGUGAGUAACACGUGAGUAACCUGCCCUUGACUUUGGGAUAACUUCAGGAAACUGGGGCUAAUACCGGAUAGGAGCUCCUGCUGCAUGGUGGGGGUUGGAAAGUUUCGGCGGUUGGGGAUGGACUCGCGGCUUAUCAGCUUGUUGGUGGGGUAGUGGCUUACCAAGGCUUUGACGGGUAGCCGGCCUGAGAGGGUGACCGGCCACAUUGGGACUGGGAUACGGCCCAGACUCCUACGGGAGGCAGCAGUGGGGAAUAUUGCAAAAUGGGCGGAAGCCUGAUGCAGCAACGCCGCGUGCGGGAUGACGGCCUUCGGGUUGUAAACCGCUUUCGCCUGUGACGAAGCGUGAGUGACGGUAAUGGGUAAAGAAGCACCGGCUAACUACGU
rnacentral:rRNA from 1 species